GACGAACGCUGGCGGCGUGCUUAACACAUGCAAGUCGAACGAAGUGGCGAACGGGCGAGUAACGCGUAAUCAACCUGCCCAUCAGAGGGGGACAACAGUAGGAAACGACUGCUAAUACCGCAUACUGAAGGAGGGGAAUGCGUGUGAUUAGCAAGUUGGAGGGGUAACGGCCCACCAAGGCGAUGAUCAGUAGCCGGUCGGCGAGGAUGAACGGCCACAACGGGACGUGGACACGGCCCAGGAUCCUACUGGAGGCAGCAGGGGGGAAUCUUCCGCAAUGGGCGAAAGUCUGGCGGGGCAACGCCGCGGGGGUGAUGACGGCCUUCGGGUUGUAAAGCUCUGUUUGUCGGGACGCGGUACCGAAAUAGAAAGCCACGGCUAACUACGUGCCAGCAGCCGCGGUAAUUC
rnacentral:rRNA from 1 species